rnacentral:rRNA from 1 species
CCUACGGGUGGCAGCAGUGGGGAAUAUUGGACAAUGGGCGAAAGCCUGAUCCAGCCAUGCCGCGUGUGUGAAGAAGGCCUUCGGGUUGUAAAGCACUUUCAGUGGGGAAGAAAGCCUUGGGGCUAAUACCCUCGAGGAAGGACAUCACCCACAGAAGAAGCACCGGCUAACUCCGUGCCAGCAGCCGCGGUAAUACGGAGGGUGCGAGCGUUAAUCGGAAUUACUGGGCGUAAAGCGCGCGUAGGCGGUCUGAUAAGCCGGUUGUGAAAGCCCCGGGCUCAACCUGGGAACGGCAUCCGGAACUGUUAGGCUAGAGUGCAGGAGAGGAAGGUAGAAUUCCCGGUGUAGCGGUGAAAUGCGUAGAGAUCGGGAGGAAUACCAGUGGCGAAGGCGGCCUUCUGGACUGACACUGACGCUGAGGUGCGAAAGCGUGGGUAGCAAACAGGAUUAGAUACCGAGUAGUC